AUAAUGAAUCUGAUUUUGCAAUCAUUUUAAAAACAUUAACUGCGUUACAAAGAAGGAAUCUCCAAUCUAUGGCAGAUACGAAGCGGAAAAGAUACAUCAAACAGGCUGGGAGAUCACAACAGCUUCAUCAAAGUUAGCAGAGUGCCAAGAAACAAUUGUCAAUCUUGGGAAACAACUCAAGGCACUUGCUUCAUCUAGUGAAACAGCACUUCUUGAUAAGGUUGUCUCCACAAAUAGUUAUAUGGUUAAUCCAUCUCAGAAGAAGAACUUGAUCAAAAAACGAUCCUCGCUGCGCACCCAUAUGCUAGCUGAGGAUGAUGCUAAAGAAGAGAUACAUACGUCUGUCCAAAACGAAGAAAGCAAAAGUAUUGAAGAUGCACAGAGACCGUCCCUUCUUCAACCAGAAACAGAAACUGCUCUGCAAACUCCUCUCGUCAUGGAUAAUGCACCAGAAAUACCUAUGACCUCAGAGAAAAAUGAUAGAAGCAAGGCCACAGGAUAUCUGUCAAUUGUGCCGAGAAAAAAACACAGCGGCUUUGAAUUUCUGAGGCGGCUGUUGUCAAGACAAAAGAAGAGUAAAGGAACUAAGCUAUUAGGGAUAGCAUGAUUAAGAAUGGACAUAAAACCUCCCCUCAAGAGUGGUAUUCGAAAGGAAGUUUAUUUGGUGUUUUUAGCUUGCAAUGGCUUCUUUGAUUAUUGAGGUUUGGAUCGGAGGCCAACGUGUGAGAUUUUCUCUUGUAGAUACUGCUGGUGUACUUGUAUAUAUACAUUGCUUUUGUGGUGGUAUUUCAGAUUAAACGCGCUGAUAUAUAUAUACAUAUAUAUGGAACGUGCUUGUGUUUGCAAAGACUGUGUUAAGCCAAAAAAAUAACAAAGAUUAUUCUUCAUUAUUACUUA